AGCUUUGCGCAGUGGCGAUAUCGUAACCAAUGAGGUUUUACCGAGGUGCGAUUAUUGCUAAUUGAAAUAUAAAAAAAUAAGAAAAAAAAUUUGGCUUUGUCCAAAAAGUAGUCUAAUUCUUUUUCGAAUAUUUCAAGUAU